CUAUAAUACCCAACAUACACAGCAAGGACUUGAAUAGUUAGGGACCAAAAAAAUGUACAGUCAAACUAAAUAGCCUCACUGUGAAUAGCCAACACACCGCAAGUCAAACGAUCAGUCACACAACUGCAGCAUCGAGAAAACCAUCGACGAGUGAGUAGACAUCAAGUAGUUUCUCAUAUUGAUCACGCUCAGUAUAAGUUGUUCUCUAACAAUCAUCUAUACUCUCACUUUCGUGUCUCUAUACUGCAGACUCGAGACUCAUCUGUCCUAAAGAGAGGUGAUCCGUGCACC
rnacentral:lncRNA from 1 species